rnacentral:lncRNA from 1 species
ACAGAAGAGGAAAUGUAAAUGCUGUCAGCAGCUGAGAAAAAGAAACCUAAUGCAGAUCAGAGCUGAGCAGAUGUUGAAGAACCUAGAAAAUUCAGCCACUGCCAGGAACUCAUCUACGUGGGGCCGCUUCAGCACAUAGACCUGGUGGACCACUCCAUCUAUCUCCACCGGGAUGAUGAAGUCCGCAUUGUUCACUGGCUUGAAGGAGCUGUCCAGGUCGAUGACUACGCAGAUCUUGUCUGAGUCCUGGGCCUUGGCCUCGGGAAGCAGCUUUAUUGUCAAAGAUCGAGUGACCAUAGAUCAGUGUAAUGUCCCAAGAGACACCAUCAACAGUUGAAAACAAAUGUUUUGAGGCAAGAUACUGCAUCCUGGAGCAGUGACAAGCAUCUCUUGAGAAUGGAAUUUUGCACCUGAACUAUGAAAGCUUCUUGGGGCCAUUCUUGUAGAUGCCAAACUAGACUGGAGAAGAUCAUGGAGCCUGCAGAGCACUAGAGCCUAGAUCAAAGAAGCUUUGAGGAAAGAAGGAGGCUGAGAGCAGAGCUGCAGCAGGCCAUGCAGAAAGAACAUCUUAAAAAGAACUCCUGGCUCUUAAGGAAGUAAG